UACGUAGGAUGCAAGCGUUGUCCGGAAUCAUUGGGCGUAAAGAGCGUGUAGGCGGCUCGGUAAGUCCGCUGUGAAAGUCCAGGGCUCAACCCUGGAAUGCCGGUGGAAACUGUCGAGCUAGAGUCCGGAAGAGGCGAGUGGAAUUCCUGGUGUAGCGGUGAAAUGCGCAGAUAUCAGGAGGAACACCAAUGGCGAAGGCAGCUCGCUGGGACGGUACUGACGCUGAGACGCGAAAGCGUGGGGAGCAAACAGG
rnacentral:rRNA from 1 species